rnacentral:rRNA from 1 species
AAAUUGAAGAGUUUGAUCAUGGCUCAGAUUGAACGCUGGCGGCAGGCCUAACACAUGCAAGUCGAACGGUAACAGGAAGCAGCUUGCUGCUUCGCUGACGAGUGGCGGACGGGUGAGUAAUGUCUGGGAAACUGCCUGAUGGAGGGGGAUAACUACUGGAAACGGUAGCUAAUACCGCAUAACGUCGCAAGACCAAAGAGGGGGACCUUCGGGCCUCUUGCCAUCGGAUGUGCCCAGAUGGGAUUAGCUAGUAGGUGGGGUAACGGCUCACCUAGGCGACGAUCCCUAGCUGGUCUGAGAGGAUGACCAGCCACACUGGAACUGAGACACGGUCCAGACUCCUACGGGAGGCAGCAGUGGGGAAUAUUGCACAAUGGGCGCAAGCCUGAUGCAGCCAUGCCGCGUGUAUGAAGAAGGCCUUCGGGUUGUAAAGUACUUUCAGCGGGGAGGAAGGGCGUAAAGUUAAUACCUUU